CCAAGUUUAGUUGAAACUUUGUUCAGCUUCUUGAAAGCUCUUGAAAUAAUAAAAUAAUGAAGGUGCUAUUUAUUUUGGUAUUAGUUUCUGGCUUCAUGACCACUGCUUUUAGUCGUUUUGGAAAAUUCUACCCUCCCGGAAGGUGUUUGGCAUCAUCUGAAAAAUGCUUGGGAACAAUCGAAUGGGAGAGAGUUGAAAGAGAAAGAGAGGCUGAAAACCGGAAGAAUAUAGGUUAUCCAUCUUAAAAAAGUCCAUUAGACAAAAAACAGCCCAAGUUAUAGGAGAUUUUGGGGCACAACCUAAUAAGGACAUCUUAUAUGGUACUUUAGGAGUACCGAUUAUAAAAUCAUAACAGUCCGUAACUGGAUAGAAGCGUAAGCCUAACAAAUUGGUUUAAUAAUAAAUUUAUUUAGAACAAACUUUUUAUUACAUUUUCUUUAAAUAUCGCGGCCCAAUUAGAUUCAAGCUUAGUUUAAAUUUUUCUGAGUUCUUGAAAGUUCUUGGAGGGUGCUAGUUUUUUUUGGUCUUUUAUAUUUUAUCAAAUUAAUACACAUUUGGAUUACCUAAUUCAGAAUUCUACCCUUCAGGAAAGUGGUUAUGCGUUUCUGAAAAAUUCAUGAGAACUUUUAAGCUUGGGCUAAAUAUUUGAAAAGAUAAAAAUAUACUGAAACAAAAUAGAAAGUAUAAAUUUUAAAAUUCGGUUUUUAGAAACUACACGCCCUUUAAAAAGUAAUGCUUUAAGAGUACCGUAUACAACCCGUAUAGAAAUUUUACAGUCGGAAUACGAUAGUUGCGUAAGCGUAAUAAAUCAGUUAGAAAUUAAUAAAAAAAACAAAACUGUAGAAAAAAUUUACUUUAAAUAUCGUGGCCCAGAAAUACCCAAGUUUAGUUGAAACUUUGUUCAGCUUCUUGAAAGCUCUUGAAAUAAUAAAAUAAUGAAGGUGCUAUUCAUUUUGGUAUUAGUUUCUGGCUUCAUGACCACUGCUUUUAGUCGUUUUGGAGAAUUCUACCCUCUCGGAAGUUGUUUUGCAUCAUCUGAACAAUGCUUGGGAACAAUCGAAUGGGAGAGAGCUGAAAGAGAAAGAGAGGCUGAAAACCGGAAGAAGAUAGGUUAUCCAUCUUAAAAAAGUCCAUCAGACAAAAAACAGCCCAAGUUAUAGGAGAUUUUGGGGCCACAACCUAAGAAGGACAUCUUCUACUUUAGGAGAACCAAUUAUAAAAUCAUAACAGUCCGUAACUGGAUAGAAGCGUAAGCCUAACAAAUCGGUUUAAUAAUAAAUUUAUUUAAAACAAACUUCUUAUUACAUUUUCUUUAAAUAUCGCGACCCAAUUAGAUUCAAGCUUAGUUUAAAUUUUUCUGAGUUCUUGAAAGUUCUUGGAGGGUGCUAGUUUUUUUUGGUCUUUUAUAUUUUAUCAAAUUAAUACACAUUUGGAUUACCUAAUUCAGAAUUCUACCCUUCAGGAAAGUGGUUAUGCGUUUCUGAAAAAUUCAUGAGAACUUUUAAGCUUGGGCUAAAUAUUUGAAAAGAUAAAAAUAUACUGAAACAAAAUAGAAAGUAUAAAUUUUAAAAUUCGGUUUUUAGAAACUACACGCCCUUUAAAAAGUAAUGCUUUAAGAGUACCGUAUACAACCCGUAUAGAAAUUUUACAGUCGGAAUACGAUAGUUGCGUAAGCGUAAUAAAUCAGUUAGAAAUUAAUAAAAAAAAACAAAACUGUAGAAAAAAUUUACUUUAAAUAUCGUGGCCCAGAAAUACCCAAGUUUAGUUGAAACUUUGUUCAGCUUCUUGAAAGCUCUUGAAAUAAUAAAAUAAUGAAGGUGCUAUUCAUUUUGGUAUUAGUUUCUGGCUUCAUGACCACUGCUUUUAGUCGUUUUGGAGAAUUCUACCCUCUCGGAAGUUGUUUUGCAUCAUCUGAACAAUGCUUGGGAACAAUCGAAUGGGAGAGAGCUGAAAGAGAAAGAGAGGCUGAAAACCGGAAGAAGAUAGGUUAUCCAUCUUAAAAAAGUCCAUCAGACAAAAAACAGCCCAAGUUAUAGGAGAUUUUGGGGCCACAACCUAAGAAGGACAUCUUCUACUUUAGGAGUACCGAUUAUAAAAUCAUAACAGUCCGUAACUGGAUAGAAGCGUAAGCCUAACAAAUCGGUUUAAUAAUAAAUUUAUUUAAAACAAA